GAUGAACGCUGGCGGCGUGCCUAAUACAUGCAAGUCGAGCGAACAGACGAGGAGCUUGCUCCUCUGACGUUAGCGGCGGACGGGUGAGUAACACGUGGAUAACCUACCUAUAAGACUGGGAUAACUUCGGGAAACCGGAGCUAAUACCGGAUAAUAUAUUGAACCGCAUGGUUCAAUAGUGAAAGACGGUUUUGCUGUCACUUAUAGAUGGAUCCGCGCCGCAUUAGCUAGUUGGUAAGGUAACGGCUUACCAAGGCAACGAUGCGUAGCCGACCUGAGAGGGUGAUCGGCCACACUGGAACUGAGACACGGUCCAGACUCCUACGGGAGGCAGCAGUAGGGAAUCUUCCGCAAUGGGCGAAAGCUUGACGGAGCAACGCCGCGUGAGUGAUGAAGGUCUUCGGAUCGUAAAACUCUGUUAUUAGGGAAGAACAAAUGUGUAAGUAACUAUGGACGUCUUGACGGUACCUAAUCAGAAAGCCACGGCUAACUACGUG
rnacentral:rRNA from 1 species